rnacentral:rRNA from 1 species
GACGAACCUUGCGAACGUUGUUCGGAAUCACUGGGCUUAAAGGGCGCGUAGGCGGCUCCUCAAGUCCGGGAUGAAAUCCUCCCGCCCAACGGGAGAAGAGCCUCGGAGACGGGGGAGCUCGAGGGAGGUAGGGGCAAGCGGAACUGUGGGUGGAGCGGUGAAAUGCAUUGAUAUCCACAGGAACUCCGGUGGCGAAGGCGGCUUGCUGGACCUCUUCUGACGCUGAGGCGCGAAAGCCAGGGGAGCAAACGGG